rnacentral:tRNA from 1 species
GCGUUGGUGGUACAGUGGUGAGCAUAGCUGCCUUCAAAGCACUUGACCCUGGUUUGAUUCCCGGCCAAUGCA